AUUUCUUAAUGCUGGGCUGAAGAUAUCGUGUGAUUAAUGUGGCUUUUCUGCAUGCGCCAUUAAGCUCAUUUAGAGUCCUUGCAGAUCUCCUGUCGCAUGGCCCAGGGUCACUCUGAUGACGAAGAUGCAGGAUUUUCCCUUUGGGAAUAAGCAAAAAGAUCCAGAACCGACGCAGAUGGAGUGAGCCAUUUGGAGAGGAGAAGUCGAGAGAGGGGAGUCUUGUUCCUCAUAGGGGCCGUGCACAAUCCUGAUUUGAUGGAGAUGGGCGUGAGAAGCACAGAGGAUCAUCUGGAGAAACUUCUGAAAUGCCCGGUUCGCUGCCGCUGCUACAGUGCGAUCGAGAAUCUCCGGAGGGGAAGGCCCCAAAUCCUCGGCUUUGCCUGUUGCUGGCGGCCGGGGCUGGGGGCAAAGCGCUCGGCAGAGAUGGUGCUCGGUGUCGGAGAGCUGAUUGGAGGUUCGAAG